GUGAGGAAUAUUGGUCAAUGGACGCAAGUCUGAACCAGCCAUGCCGCGUGCAGGAUGACGGCUCUAUGAGUUGUAAACUGCUUUUGUACGAGGGUAAACCCCGAUACGUGUAUCGGGUUGAAAGUAUCGUACGAAUAAGGAUCGGCUAACUCCGUGCCAGCAGCCGCGGUAAUACGGAGGAUCCGAGCGUUAUCCGGAUUUAUUGGGUUUAAAGGGUGCGUAGGCGGUUUGAUAAGUUAGAGGUGAAAUGUCGGGGCUCAACCCCGAAACUGCCUCUAAUACUGUUGGACUAGAGAAUAGUUGCGGUAGGCGGAAUGUAUGGUGUAGCGGUGAAAUGCUUAGAGAUCAUACAGAACACCGAUUGCGAAGGCAGCUUACCAAACUAUAUCUGACGUUGAGGCACGAAAGCGUGGGUAGCAAACAGG
rnacentral:rRNA from 2 species